GGAUCUUUGGUCUAGUGGAAUUGACUAUUGCGAACGAGUUCCAAGCGGUUCCUUCGGGGAUGCGGUUCACUCCAGUCACGCCCAGCGCGUAUAUUGGUUCAUGUUACUUUGCAAUCGACCCGGGUUCGAUCCCCGGAAGAUCUA